ensembl:snRNA U6 U6 spliceosomal RNA
GUGCUAGCUGUGGCAACAUGUCUACUAAAAUUGGAACGAUACAGAGAAGAUUAGCUUGGGCACCGUGCAAGAAUGACAUGCAAAUUCAUGAAGCGUUCCAUGUUUUU